rnacentral:lncRNA from 1 species
GGCCGGCCGCGUGGCCCUGACAGGCUGAAGACUCAACUAGGGUCUUGGGCCAGGGCCGAGCAGGCGCUCACAAUGGAGUCUGUCCCUGGUCUCAGUGGUCAGCUGGCCAUCCAUGUAACCGCAUAGAGAGCAGGUGCUCUCGGAGACCGAGGUCCAAGUGGCCCCUCACCAUCCAGUGCCUCCCUCAAGCUCAGGCGCCAGUCAGAGGGUGUCCUGUCUCAGGCGGCGGGGUGGGGGGUGCUGUGUGCUGCACAAGUCACUGUGUGCUGCCUUGGGGACACAGUCCAAGCGGCUGAGCCUGGGCGGCCAGGGUUCCAUUGGGCUGGGUUUUAGUUGUCCAGCAGGUCCAUCCCAAUGUACCCACCUCCCCCAUCUUCUCACACCAUAGUUGCGUUUAGUUCUUAUACACAGGUCAUUGAACCUUCACACAGAGACAAGGUCAGGUCUCCUUGUGGGGUCCUUAGGCUGCCGUGUCCCAUUUCCCUCAAGGGCAUCCCCUUCAGGGUCACGUUUCUUGUUUAGCCUGAGAGGAGCGGCCACUCACCUACCUGAUAAUAGAUAGUCACUUAAGGCCGACUUGAUACUUCAUCUUCUUUCUUUGUAGUUUAUU